rnacentral:tRNA from 1 species
GGCUCAGUAGCUCAGUUGGUUAGAGCAAGGGACUCAUAAGCCCAAGGUCGCAGGUUCAAGUCCCGCCUGAGCCA